rnacentral:piRNA from 1 species
UGCUUUCAACACAAAAAGAGGCAGUGCACU